GACGAACGCUGUCGGCGUGCUUAACACAUGCAAGUCGAGCGGAGCGGCGAACGGGUGAGUAACGCGUGAGUAACUGCCCCCCUCUCUGGGAUAACAGUUGGAAACGGCUGCUAAUACCGGAUAGUGGGGGAUGACUCGCGUCCUAUCAGCUUGUGGGUGGGGUAGUGGCCUCCCAAGGCGACGACGGGUAGCCGGCCUGAGAGGGCGACCGGCCAAAUUGGGCUUGGGUACGGCCUAAAACCGUACGGGAGGCAGCAGUGGGGAAUAGUGCACAAUGGGGGAAACGCUGAUGCAGAAACGCCGCGUGCGGGAGUACGGCAUUCGGGUUGUAAACCGCUUUCAGCCAUGACGCGGUAGUGGCAGAAGAAGCACAGGCUCACUACGUGCCAGCAGCCUCGGUAAUUC
rnacentral:rRNA from 1 species